rnacentral:lncRNA from 1 species
AGUCGUAUCCUAGUUUUGAGAAUUAAUCGUGCGUCAUUUUGUUGCUCGUCCUUUCUUCUUCUUCUUCCUCCAUUCUUCUUUAUUUUCUAUCUCGCGAAAUUAUCCUAAGAAGAAGAAGAAGAAGAAGCUUUAACUUUGCUGAAAGAUAACGAGAAAGUGAAUGAGAAAGGGAGAGACGUGUGUGUAAUAUUCCGAGAAACUCGUGUACCUUUAUAACGAACCGAAGAGACAAGAAAGAUGACGACGACGACGGGAACCUAGACGAGGAUGAAAGUUGGAAAGAGAAAAAGUACCACCACCACCACCACCACCAACAUCACCGCCGGCAGGACCAACUCGAGGAUGUGAACGAGGACGAAGGACGGCAGGCAAGAGGGCUUAACUUUACGGUCGAGACGGAUAAAACGAACAAAAAAUCAAUGGGGGAAACUUUAAUAGACGUACAAACUUGCUAUCGAUCGAUGUAACAUCGAAUAAUAAUCAAUGGGAAAACUUCGAUAUUCGUAUAAUACGGUCUAAGAAAGUCAAAGGAAAAUUAGGUCACCGAACGAGCUUUUAUAAAAGAUAAUAUUAAAAAAAGAAAAAAAGGUAACUCGAACGAAUAUUUCUUUUCGCAUAAAAUCGCCGACGUUAUUUCACACGCUUAAUUAUUCUAACGUAAACAACGUAAUUGCGUGGAUUAAUUAAUACACGCUAUUAAUAACAUUCCAGGGCGUAAAGAAAUCGAGCGAGAUCAUUUAACUGCACGCGAGCAAAAA